UACAGGCAAGUGGUCAAGUGGACAAGAGAGCAGGCCGCACAGUCGCGCACGCCGGCUCACAUGCUCGGUUCCGGCGACACCCCGCAAAAGGCAGCCAUGCCGCUUCGCCUCGGCUGUCCGCCUGCCCCCGAUCGGCGGAGGCGAAGGUACACCUGUCGGGGUGCGCGCAGCACAGCGGCAGCGCCCCCUUUGGAAAUAGCGCCGGGGCGACGUGGCCGGGCUGCGCACCGCUCCUCCGCACCAUUUUUUACUCCUCUUCUUCUCCCCCAAGGCCCCAACCAUCCCACUCUCUCUAUACAACAGCCACCCCCGCGCCCUUCCGCCCUUGUCGAGUCCAAAUCCAGGUUAUAGAUCCUCUCGCGCCGCCGCUCGCAGCCGCUCGCCGCCCGGUACAUCUCCCCCGCGCCUCUCCCUGCUCCUGGAUUUCACCGAUCUGGCAUGCUUUACUGUCCCGUCAUACGGUGGCAGCGGGAGCCGCCCCCUUCCUGCCUCCACAGCUCAUGCCAUGCAUGGCCGAUCCAUUCCCUCAGAUCGGGAUUGCCGCAUACAUGCCGUUGCUUCCCCGUUAGCUUCUCCCUUGUUACACCCCCUCGCUUCGUUCUGCGUAGUUUCGGGGUUUGACACCGCUUGUCUAUCCCGUUCCUAUAGCUUUUAGGGUUUCGAGCUCAAACUCCGCGCCGGCGUCUCAGUUGCUGCAAGUGGCGGCAGCAAGCUAGAGGCAGCAACUGCAUACCUUGCAAGAAAAAAUCGGUUUUGUUGACGUACCGAUGAUUUUCUUGCAAGUUGUGCAGUUGUUGUCUCAAGCUUGCUGCCUCCCUUUGCCAGAACUAUUGAAUGUGAAAGCACAGUUAAGUAAUGCCACGCCCAGAGAAUCCAAAAGGUUGCUGAUAUAAAAAGUUGCUAAUAAGUGGUGGAACUUUUAGCGGAGUAAAUUGUAUGCCUUUAUGAAAUAACUGAAGUAGAUAUGUUGGCAUGCUAUUGUUUGAAUCAAGAAAUGAUAUUAUAUACUCCCUCCGUCCCAAAAUAUUAGUCGUUUUAGCCCUUGAAAUUAUGUCUAUAUUUAAAUGAAUGACAAUGAAUCUAUAUAUAAUAUAAAACACAUACAUUAAGUAUUGUAUGAAUCUAGUAAAAUGCUAAAACGACUAAUAUUUUGGGACGGAGGGAGUACAAAAUAACAAGACGAGAAAUGACUGUAUGAACUCAAUUAAGGCAAAUACAAAACCUCUUCAUCUUGUGUUGAUAUUUUAUUUCAGACACAUACUUAAAUUAAGAAACAAUUUUAUCUAAUGAUAUGAAGCUGGACGUGUAUUGGCAUGCUUUGAUUAUGUAAUUUAUUGCUGUUAUCUACACUUCUCACAUACAAGUGCUGACAUCUCAAUGGAGCUAAAUAAUCCCAGAGCAUGUGAAAUCCUAAUGACGCAUGCGUCUUGAGGGACGAAACAGGACAAGUCAGAGAUUGGUGAUGAACUUGCUGGAACAAGCUUAUGCAUGAAACUGCUGAUGGUUUUAACCUUUUUAGGAUUUAGCUAAAGGCUAUAAUAAUCUUCAAAGGUUCAAUAUAAAUUCUUGGACUAUAGACUGAAGUAUGGCUGCUGAUCUUCCAAGAUCUCUCCAGUUCAGAGGAUGGGAUUAUGGGAGCUUAGACCAGAGCUGUCUAAGCAAUUCCAGAGUACAGAAGGGUAUACUCUGAUCCUAGAAAAGAUGGCAUAUUCUAUCGGACCAGAGUCACCAGACCUUGGAUGAAAGGGCUUCAGUUUAAGUCCUACAAGAGAUGAACGAUGGCAACCACCAAAAGUCCAACUACGUAGAACGAUGGCAACCACCAAAAAUUGCCCAUUGUUCAUCCGACGGGCAAUUUGCCGUUUCUUCUCAUGGUGAGACAUGGGAUGCUGCAACAUGACCCGAAAAACUGGAUUUCAAUUCAAGUGAACAGUUUCUCCAUUUGUACGGUAUUCCAUUGCAAUUUCUGCCUAUGAUGGUGCGCGGAUACCUGGGCUAAGCCAUGUGGAGACACAGACACCAUAUAUGAAGUUGGUCUUUUUGCUGCCAACCAAUCAUGAACACCAAAUUCAGAGUUAGGAAUGAACUAUAACUAUUCAUAGUCUUGUUAUUACCUUAAGCUCUUGAUUUUGCAACGAACCUGUUGAUGCGCAGUUGAUCUAACACAUGAGAUGUGGUUUAAUAGACAAUACAAGUGUAUUCUAGUUGUCUUUUUCAUAGUGGGUCAGUGAAAAAAAGUGUUUUGAACCAUUGUUCCUUGACCCAUAUGUUCGACGCACACAAUUUGCCAAGAACUAUCUGCACAUAUGGUUUUGUAUC